rnacentral:rRNA from 1 species
GACGAACGCUGGCGGCGUGCUUAACACAUGCAAGUCGAACGGAAAGGCCCCUUUGGGGGUACUCGAGUGGCGAACGGGUGCGUAACACGUGAGUAACCUGCCCUUGACUUCGGGAUAACUUCAGGAAACUGGGGCUAAUACCGGAUAGGAAUCCUUGCUGCAUGGUGGGGGUUGGAAAGCUUCGGCGGUUUUGGAUGGACUCGCGGCUUAUCAGCUUGUUGGUGGGGUAGUGGCUUACCAAGGCUGUGACGGGUAGCCGGCCUGAGAGGGCGACCGGCCACAUUGGGACUGAGAUACGGCCCAGACUCCUACGGGAGGCAGCAGUGGGGAAGAUUGCACAAUGGGCGGCAGCCUGAUGCAGCAACGCCGCGUGCGGGAUGACGGCCUUCGGGUUGUAAACCGCUUUCAGCAGGGGCGAAGCUUGUGGUGACGGUACCUGCAGAAGAAGCACCGGCUAACUACGUG